rnacentral:lncRNA from 1 species
CUGGGACAAAAGGAGGCCCUGGAGACCAGGUGAGGCGAUCCCAAGCUGGGGACAGAAUUGAGCAAGGAAGUCUGGGGCCAGGAAGACAGCAAGGCCCAGGCCUCAGCCAAGUCUCAGAGGCUCAGCCAGAACAUAAGCCCCUUGGGCCUAACCACCUCCCUCCUGCCACCUCCCACCCAUCAUGCACUCCUCAGCCUGCCUCAGUGCAGAUAGGAUGGCAUGGCUUAAAAUCCAGAGGAGAAACAAACAGGAAAAUCAGGAGCCAAGAGGAUUGAACCAAGAAUACCCUCUCCCCCGUCCCAGCUCAUCUGGUUCCAGGCUCUGUUUAGGCUUCGUUGGGUUUCCCUGAGGCCAAGGGCCUGACUGGGCCACCCAGACUGACCUGAGAACUGUUUUCCUGCAGGGUGAGCCGGGCCCGCAGGGCCUUCCUGGAUUCUCUGGUCCCCCUGGGAAAGAGGGAGAGCCAGGGCCUCGAGGAGAAAUUGGUCCCCAGGGCAUCAUGGGACAGAAGGUAAGUGCCUGGCACAAUGGCCCCUCCCCGGGGGCCUCUGCGGCAGCUGGCACUGCUGGAUACAGCAUCUGCUCCGUGCAGCCCGUGAGAUGCCUCCCCAGGCAGGGCCUAGGUUUGCUUUGCUGGUCUGCCAAGUGGAGAAAGGACCCCCUGCCAGUGACAGCAGGAAUGGAGGGCACCCUGACCAUGCGGUGCCAGGCCUCGGUGCGGGAGGCUACCCCUGCUGAGAGCUGCUGAGGUUGUGACCUUCUCUUUCCAUUUCAGGGUGACCAAGGCGAGAGGGGUCCAGUGGGGCAACCAGGCCCUCAGGGAAGGCAGGGCCCUAAGGGGGAGCAGGGCCCCCCCGGAAUUCCAGGGCCCCAAGGCUUGCCAGGCGUCAAAGGAGACAAGGGCUCCCCAGGGAAGACCGGGCCCCGCGGCAAAGUGGGUGACCCAGGGGUGGCCGGCCUCCCCGGAGAGAAAGGCGAGAAGGGCGAGUCCGGCGAGCCGGGGCCCAAGGGACAGCAAGGAGUACGUGGAGAACCCGGCUACCCUGGCCCCAGCGGGGAUGCGGGCGCCCCAGGGGUUCAGGGCUACCCUGGUCCCCCCGGCCCUCGAGGACUGGCCGGGAACCGAGGCGUGCCAGGACAGCCCGGGAGACAGGGCGUGGAGAGCAACUGGCAGAGGUCGCCGUGAGUGCCAAGCGGGAAGCCCUGGGUGCGGUGGGCAUGAUGGGUCCUCCAGGACCUCCUGGGCCCCCUGGGUACCCAGGCAAGCAGGGCCCCCAUGGGCACCCUGGCCCUCGGGGCGUUCCUGGCAUCGUGGGAGCCGUGGGUCAGAUCGGCAACACGGGGCCCAAGG